UUAGGCCCAACAUAUGUUCACCCAGCAUUAAUUAGUCUUGUCUUAGGUUCAAAAUCACAAAGCUAGCUGUACAAAAUGUGCAUGGUAUGCCUCCAUUAGGUUUCUUGUCUCUUAUGUACAAUACAAAUCCAUUCUUCAGAAAUCAGCAACCCUGUGGAAAAAAAGAGAAAACACAUUUGUUGACAAAUUGUCAUAUAGUUGCAGGCACAUAAAGAAAAACAAUGGAGUGGUAGAAAAAUAAACACAACAAACAAAGGCAAAAAAGAGAACAGGAUGUCCCCUCUCCCUGAUUCUCAGGCGUGCAUUACCCCCGCCGCCUCCUCCAGUUUAUCAACUCCCGUGGGCAACAAGCUGUAGGUGGCAAGCUAUUACCUCCCAGGCAAAAGGCAAAGCAAAAGAGCAUCUUGGCCAUGCUCUUCUCUUAACUCAUAGGCAAGCAAAAGGCAAAGCAAAAAAAAACUUCUCCUUUUCUCUUAGCUCAGACAAUGUAACCAAGUGUUACAUAUUGACAUGUGCAUUUAGGCGUUCUAAGCGUGGGUAAAAACAAAAUCGGUAUUCUCUGGUGAUCGUGCACAGACCAAUGUGAACCAAAACCAAAUUUAAAAAUGAUUAGUGGGUACUUAAGAAUUUUUUUGGAGGGUCUAUCGUGAACUCCUAUGCAAGUUGCUUAGGCCGAUGUGCAUUAUGCGGCCACGGUGCUUGAUCCGCCCGUCGAGCUCGAUGCGGCAGCCAAACGCUUCUGAAAACACCAUCCAAAAAAUAGUUCAGUCCAUCAAAAGACAACUCCUAAUCGCUAAUUUGCCUAAUUGGUCAUGCUGCAUACCUAUCAAAAAAAUAGUCCAGUUCAUCGAAAGGCAACUUAUAAUCUAGAAAUUAAAAAAAAUAGUGAAACAACUCCUAGUCGAUAUUUGCCUAAUUAGUCAUACAUUAAAAAAGAUCGGUUAUCGAAGGCAAAUUAUAGUCCAGAAAAAUGAACAGUGAAGCAACUCCUAAUCAACACACAUGAGCUAAGGCAAUUUAUAAUCAACACACAUGAGUAUUGAAGCAACUACUAAAUGGUUUGCCUAAUCAGUGAUACAACUCCUAUUUAAAAAGAGUUUGAUAAGCUAAAGCAACUUGUAAUAAACACUCAUGAAGCAACUCCUA
rnacentral:lncRNA from 1 species